rnacentral:rRNA from 1 species
UACACGCUGUGACUAGCAUAUCAAUAAGCGGAGGAAAAGAAACUAACAAGGAUUCCCCUAGUAACGGCGAGUGAAGCGGGAAGAGCUCAAAUUUGAAAUCUUAAAGGGUUUCCCUUUACGAAUUGUAGUUUAAAGAAGUGUUUUCUGUUGAGGUUUUGGUAAAAGUUCUUUGGAAUAGGACAUCAUAGAGGGUGAGAAUCCCGUAUUUGACCUUUACUUUCAACUUUGUGAUACACUUUCAAAGAGUCGGAUUGUUUGGGAAUGCAGUCCAAAAUGGGUGGUAAAUUUCAUCUAAAGCUAAAUAUUGGCGAGAGACCGAUAACGAACAAGUACCGUGAGGGAAAGAUGAAAAGAACUUUGAAAAGAGAGUUAAACAGUACGUGAAAUUGUCAAAAGGGAAGCGUUUGACACCAGUGUUGUUUUUCUGAAAAUCAAUUAAAGAACUGUUUAUGCUAAGCUGUUUAGACUUUAUCAGCUAUCUGUUUAGUUUUGAGCUUUUCUUUAAUGCACUUUUCAGUUAACAAGUCAACAUCAAUUUCUUUUGCUGUAAAAAAGCUUGAGGAAGGUGGCUUGAGAUUCGUCUUAAGUGUUUAUAGCCUCUUGCCUAUGCAGUCGGAGAGAUUGAGGUCUGCAGCGUAGAUCCUUCGGGGCUAAAUGCAUUUGUGCUAAGUUAUAGCAUUUUAUAGACAACUUGUUGACUAUGAUUUGUCUUGUAGCUUACUCGCUUAUGUUAUUUUACCUACGCUUAGGAUGUUGAAGAUGUAGCACAUCAU